UUUUUUAUAGGGGUGGGGCCCGUUCAAGGGUGUUCUGAUAAUUCUAAAACUUUGAGGUUCUUUUUAAACCUACUUUUGAAUAAUAUACACUAACAUGAAAGUGUCCUUUUCACACCAAUCUUAACACUUCUGUCUUAAAAAUUGAUACAAGUUUUCAAAAGUCUCAAAAAUUUAGAUCCCCUGGUGUACCAGCUGGUCUUCUUUUCCUUUUAUUAGAAACCCCAAAAUUCUCUGCAGAAUUAAAAGCUUCAGAAGAGGAAGAUGGACUAAGAAAAAGAAAGAAAAGGAAUAAAUAAAAGAAAAGCAUAAAUAAAAAGGAAAAAUGGAGAAUUAUUUUAAUGAAAUUGACAUAUGGCAAGUAAGGAUUUGUGCAUGACAAGCACUUCCGUUCUUAAUAUUGGAGUUGGCCGAGAAAGAGGGUAAUAAUACCACUUAGAAGUUGUUCGUAGGAAUUUAAAGAUCGUAAUUGAAAAUGAGGGACUAGUUUGAAGGGGUCUUUAUAUACCCCAGAAAGAAAAAAAAAAUCAAAAGAAAAGAUGCUUGCUUUAGGCCUUAUGGUAUGCAUAUGAUCUGCGAAUUACUGUUUUUAGUUUGUAAAUGUUAUUAUUUUCCAUGUGCAAACAGAACUCAGUAGCUGUAUCUUUCGCGAUGUGCUUCCAGUCAGGUCAUCUCGAGUUACAUUGUAACUACAAUUGGAACUAUAAUAUUAACAAUGAUCUUGCUUAGUGAUUCACUGUGUAGUUGAUGCAUCUAGGCAAACCCAAUUUUACUCUUUUACAUAGAAUGACACAAUAUGUGUAAACUAACACAUCUUAUACUAUUUGGUUCCUACAGCAUGGAUGUAUUCCAGAGAGCGAGAAGCUGCCCCUUGAAGAGAAGAAGCCCCAUUAUAGCAUGCUGCAAAUUCGGAACUUUUAUUGCAGCGUUGCAUAAAACGACUGGUAUGAGAAUUACGAGGUCUCAAAUGCAAUUUGACAUAUGAAUUAGAUGUUGCUGUAACAUAUUAGGUCAGUAGAUUCUUUAUAGUUGUAUACCCCUGUAAUAAAGUGAGCCCAUCAAUUGAAAGUUCAUUAUUGGGGAGCACCUUGUUUAUCCUUGUUCUGUAGACCAAUAGGUUGAGGGGGUUUAUGUCC
rnacentral:lncRNA from 1 species